UCGGGAAUUUUGGGCAAUGGGCGAAAGCCUGACCCAGCAACGCCGCGUGAAGGAUGAAGUAUUUCGGUAUGUAAACUUCGAAAGAAUAGGAAGAAUAAAUGACGGUACUAUUUAUAAGGUCCGGCUAACUACGUGCCAGCAGCCGCGGUAAUACGUAGGGACCAAGCGUUGUUCGGAUUUACUGGGCGUAAAGGGCGCGUAGGCGGUGUGUCAAGUCAGUUGUGAAAUCUCCGAGCUUAACUCGGAACGGUCAACUGAUACUGUCACACUAGAGUACAGAAGGGGCAAUCGGAAUUCUUGGUGUAGCGGUGAAAUGCGUAGAUAUCAAGAGGAACACCUGAGGCGAAGGCGGGUUGCUGGGCUGAUACUGACGCUGAGGCGCGAAAGCUAGGGUAGCAAACGGGAUUAGAUACCCCGGUAGUCCCUGAGCGGGCUGGCAAGGCGCAU
rnacentral:rRNA from 1 species